GAGAGUUUGAUCCUGGCUCAGAUUGAACGCUGGCGGCAGGCCUAACACAUGCAAGUCGAACGGUAACAGGAAGAAGCUUGCUUCUUUGCUGACGAGUGGCGGACGGGUGAGUAAUGUCUGGGAAACUGCCUGAUGGAGGGGGAUAACUACUGGAAACGGUAGCUAAUACCGCAUAACGUCGCAAGACCAAAGAGGGGGACCUUCGGGCCUCUUGCCAUCGGAUGUGCCCAGAUGGGAUUAGCUAGUAGGUGGGGUAACGGCUCACCUAGGCGACGAUCCCUAGCUGGUCUGAGAGGAUGACCAGCCACACUGGAACUGAGACACGGUCCAGACUCCUACGGGAGGCAGCAGUGGGGAAUAUUGCACAAUGGGCGCAAGCCUGAUGCAGCCAUGCCGCGUGUAUGAAGAAGGCCUUCGGGUUGUAAAGUACUUUCAGCGGGGAGGAAGGGAGUAAAGUUAAUACCUUUGCUCAUUGACGUUACCCGCAGAAGAAGCACCGGCUAACUCCGUGCCAGCAGCAAAGGUAAUAA
rnacentral:rRNA from 1 species